UGAGUACGAGAUGCUACGGCGUCGAAGCAGUGUAUGUCAGACUUCCAAGAAAAGCUUGCAAUGUCUUAAAUAAAUAAUGCCUGUACCAUAACCGACACAGGUGGGUAGGUAGAGUAUACUAAGGGGCGCGAGAUAACUCUCUCUAAGGAACUCGGCAAAAUAACUCCGUAACUUCGGGAGAAGGAGUGCCUUAUUUAAUAAGGUUGCAAUAACAAGAUCCAAGCAACUGUUUAUCAAAAACACAGGUCUCCGCUAAGUCGUAAGACGAUGUAUGGGGGCUGACGCCUGCCCAGUGCCAGAAGGUUAAAGAAGUUGGUUAGCUUCGGCGAAGCUGAUGACUGAAGCCCUGGUGAACGGCGGCCGUAACAAUAACGGUCCUAAGGUAGCGAAAUUCCUUGUCGGGUAAGUUCCGACCCGCACGAAAGGCGUAAUGAUUUGGAUACUGUCUCGGAGAGGGGCUCGGUGAAAUAGACUUGUCUGUGAAGAUGCGGACUACCUGCACCAGGACAGAAAGACCCUAUGAAGCUUUACUGUAACUUGAGAUUGAAAUUGGACUUUAUUUGCGCAGCAUAGGUGGGAGGCGUUGAGAAUAUUCUUGCGGGAAUAUUGGAGCCAUCAGUGAGAUACCACUCCUAUAAUGUUAGAUUUCUAACUUUGUAUCAUUAUCUGGUCAAAGAACAGUUUCAGGCGGGCAGUUUGACUGGGGCGGUCGCCUCCUAAAUGGUAACGGAGGCGUACAAAGGUUUCCUCUGAACGGGUAGAAAUCGUAUCUAGAGUGUAAAGGCAUAAGGAAGCUUGACUGUGAGACCUACAAGUCGAGCAGGGACGAAAGUCGGUCUUAGUGAUCUGACGGUGCUGAGUGGAAAGGCCGUCACUCAACGGAUAAAAGUUACUCUAGGAUAACAGGCUGAUCUCCCCCAAGAGUUCACAUCGACGGGGAGGUUUGGCACCUCGAUGUCGGCUCAUCGCAUCCUGGGGCGGUAGUACGUCCCAAGGGUUGGGCUGUUCGCCCAUGAAAGCGGUACGCGAGCUGGGUUCAGAACGUCGUGAGACAGUUCGGUCCAUAUCCGGUGUAGGCGUUAGAAUAUUGAGAGGAGCCUUCUUUAGUACGAGAGGACCGAGAAGGACAUACCUCUGGUGUACCAGUUAUCGUGCCAACGGUAAACGCUGGGUAGCUAUGUAUGGAGAGGAUAACCGCUGAAAGCAUCUAAGUGGGAAGCCCACCUCAAGAUGAGUAUUCUC
rnacentral:rRNA from 1 species